CCUACGGGUGGCAGCAGUGGGGGAUAUUGCACAAUGGGGGAAACCCUGAUGCAGCGACGCCGCGUGAGUGAAGAAGUAUUUCGGUAUGUAAAGCUCUAUCAGCAGGGAAGAAAAUGACAGUACCUGACCAAGAAGCCCCGGCUAACUACGUGCCAGCAGCCGCGGUAAUACGUAGGGGGCAAGCGUUAUCCGGAUUUACUGGGUGUAAAGGGAGCGUAGACGGUUAUGUAAGUCUGGAGUGAAAGCCCGGGGCCCAACCCCGGGACUGCUUUGGAAACUGUGUAACUGGAGUACAGGAGGGGCAGGCGGAAUUCGUGGUGUAGCGGUGAAAUGCUUAGAUAUCACGAAGAACUCCGAUUGCGAAGGCAGCUCACUGGACUGCAACUGACACUGAUGCUCGAAAGUGUGGGUAUCAAACAGGAUUAGAUACCCGUGUAGUC
rnacentral:rRNA from 1 species